UGCAGUCGGACGGUAGCACAGAGGAGCUUGCUCCUUGGGUGACGAGUGGCGGACGGGUGAGUAAUGUCUGGGGAUCUGCCCGAUAGAGGGGGAUAACCACUGGAAACGGUGGCUAAUACCGCAUAACGUCGCAAGACCAAAGAGGGGGACCUUCGGGCCUCUCACUAUCGGAUGAACCCAGAUGGGAUUAGCUAGUAGGCGGGGUAAUGGCCCACCUAGGCGACGAUCCCUAGCUGGUCUGAGAGGAUGACCAGCCACACUGGAACUGAGACACGGUCCAGACUCCUACGGGAGGCAGCAGUGGGGAAUAUUGCACAAUGGGCGCAAGCCUGAUGCACCCAUGCCGCGUGUAUGAAGAAGGCCUUCGGGUUGUAAAGUACUUUCAGCGGGGAGGAAGGCGACGGGGUUAAUAACCCUGUCGAUUGACGUUACCCGCAGAAGAAGCACCGGCUAACUCCGUGCC
rnacentral:rRNA from 1 species